CAAUGCAGGCAGCUUUACAGAGUUUAGGUGGUGGAUCUUCUAUUUCAGUAGUUCAGGGUGGUUUUUCGAGGCUAGUUGUACCUUUUUUUGUUGACACUGGUCGUAGAGAUUGUAAUGUGUGUGAUAAGAUUGGUCAUGUGGCCAGGGAUUGUCACCGCUGGGUAAUUCGGUCUACUUCUAUUUCAACUAUAAGAGGUAGGGGUACCACCAGAGAAGCAAAAGGUAGAGGUGGUAGAGCCUGCCAUGGUGGUCGUGGGGCUAUUCAGCCAGUUGGGG
rnacentral:lncRNA from 1 species